CCUUAAGUUACAGGGGAUGGAAGAGAAGGGCUGCCCUGUGGUCUUACAUGCUGGAAAUACAUGGUAAUGUUUGUGAGUUUCUAAUUGGAAAGAGAAAAAAGAUGCCCUUCCUCCGUAUCUUGUGAUGUGCAAUGUUUCAUGUCAGGACAGCUCCCCUGUGAAGGUCAGCAAACAGCAUGAAUGGUUCUCAGCAAGUAGUUCAGAUUCAGGUCAGCUGCCAGGAGAGAAACCCGAAAGUGACAAAUACUGUGUACCUUCUUCUGCCAUAUUGACAGGAUGUGGCUGUGAGUUUAGACAAAAGAUUCUUUUGUCUUUUCUCUUGUGAUGGGGGUGAUGGGAGGGUGCAUAUUGCUGUGCCUAAGACUGUGAAAUCAAGAAUAUG
rnacentral:lncRNA from 1 species